rnacentral:rRNA from 1 species
ACGGCCAUACUACCCUGAACACGCCCAUCUCGUCUGAUCUCGGAAGCUAAGCAGGGUCGGGCUUGGUUAGUACCUGGAUGGGAGAUCUGUGACUGAGUUGCAAAACGAU